rnacentral:rRNA from 1 species
AGCCUACGGGAGGCAGCAGUGGGGAAUAUUGGGCAAUGGGCGCAAGCCUGACCCAGCAACGCCGCGUGAAGGAAGAAGGCCCUCGGGUUGUAAACUUCUUUUGUCAGGGACGAAACAAAUGACGGUACCUGACGAAUAAGCCACGGCUAACUACGUGCCAGCAGCCGCGGUAAUACGUAGGUGGCAAGCGUUAUCCGGAUUUACUGGGUGUAAAGGGCGUGUAGGCGGGAGAGCAAGUCAGAUGUGAAAUUCCAGGGCUCAACCCUGGAACUGCAUUUGAAACUGUUCUUCUUGAGUGAUGGAGA